UGAAAUAAGGUGCGGCAACGUGAGAAAAUAUGGGAAAGCAAAAACAAUAGCGUGUAACCGCAGGGGAAAACAAGAAAAAAAUACGCUCAACACCGUUCUUCAAAAGCGAUUAGGUGCUCGAUAGAAUGUUUCAACCAAUUCGGAAGCGGUAAUAUAAAAUACGGAAAAGGGAGGUGAAAUAUCUUACCAAUGGAGUGGAGGUUUGCUUCGGUUAGGCUUGAGAGUCGUCGAGGAAUUUACCAACGAGAAACUCGGAAAACUUCAAAAAAAGUGAUCAUUAUAGUGGAAGAAUAAGCAAAGGACAACAAUGAAUACAUGAAGAAAAACCAUGGAAAUGGAACCUUGAAGGAUAGAAGACUUGUUGAAAUGCUACAUGUAACAUAAUCAUGAACUCUUAGGUUUUCCAAUGAAUGAUGAUGACCCUUUGGUCAAAUCUUUGUAGAAUAGGUGUAGGAAAUUUCAAGAGUCAAA